AACGAACGCUGGCGGCAGGCCUAACACAUGCAAGUCGAACGGGAUCUUCGGAUCUAGUGGCGGACGGGUGAGUAACGCGUGGGAACGUGCCCUCUGGUUCGGAAUAGCCCUGGGAAACUGGGAGUAAUACCGGAUGAGCCCUUCGGGGGAAAGAUUUAUCGCCAAAGGAUCGGCCCGCGUUGGAUUAGGUAGUUGGUGGGGUAAUGGCCUACCAAGCCGACGAUCCAUAGGUGGUUUGAGAGGAUGAUCAGCCACACUGGGACUGAGACACGGCCCAGACUCCUACGGGAGGCAGCAGUGGGGAAUCUUAGACAAUGGGGGAAACCCUGAUCUAGCCAUGCCGCGUGAGCGAUGAAGGCCUUAGGGUUGUAAAGCUCUUUCGUGGGGGAAGAUAAUGACUGUACCCCAAGAAGAAGCCCCGGCUAACUCCGUGCCAGCAGCCGCCGUAACAC
rnacentral:rRNA from 1 species